AAACCAACAGGGAUUGCCCCAGUAACGGCGAGUGAAGCGGCAAGAGCUCAAAUUUGAAAUCUGGCCUCCCCCGGGGGCCCGAGUUGUAAUUUGCAGAGGAUGUUUCGGGUGCGGCCGCCGUCUAAGUUCCUUGGAACAGGACGUCAGAGAGGGUGAGAAUCCCGUCUUGGGCGGGCGGUCCGCGCCCGUGUGAAGCUCCUUCGACGAGUCGAGUUGUUUGGGAAUGCAGCUCUAAGCGGGUGGUAAAUUUCAUCUAAAGCUAAAUAUUGGCCGGAGACCGAUAGCGCACAAGUAGAGUGAUCGAAAGGUUAAAAGCACCUUGAAAAGGGAGUUAAACAGCACGUGAAAUUGUUGAAAGGGAAGCGCUUGCGGCCAGACUCGGGGGCGGGGUUCAGCGGGUGCUCGUCGCCCGUGUAUUCCUCGUUUCCCGGGCCAGCAUCAGUUUCGACGGCCGGUCAAAGGCCCCCGGAAUGUGUCGUCUCUCGGGACGUCUUAUAGCCGGGGGUGCAAUGCGGCCCGUCGGGACUGAGGAACGCGCUCCGGCUCGGAUGCUGGCGUAAUGGCCGUAAGCGGC
rnacentral:rRNA from 1 species